rnacentral:lncRNA from 1 species
AGUUAGCGACAGGGAGGGAUGCGCGCCUGGGUGUAGUUGUGGGGGAGGAAGUGGCUAGCUCAGGGCUUCAGGGGACAGACAGGGAGAGAUGACUGAGUUAGAUGAGACGAGGGGGCGGGCUGGGGGUGCGAGAAGGAAGCUUGGCAAGGAGACUAGGUCUAGGGGGACCACAGUGGGGCAGGCUGCAUGGAAAAUAUCCGCAGGGUCCCCCAGGCAGAACAGCCACGCUCCAGGCCAGGCUGUCCCUACUGCCUGGUGGAGGGGGAACUUGACCUCUGGGAGGGCGCCGCUCUUGCAUAGCUGAGCGAGCCCGGGUGCGCUGGUCUGUGUGGAAGGAGGAAGGCAGGGAGAGGUAGAAGGGGUGGAGGAGUCAGGAGGAAUAGGCCGCAGCAGCCCUGGAAAUGAUCAGGAAGACCAAGGGCUGUGAACCCGCCUGGGGAUGAGGCCUGGUCUUGUGGAACUGAACUUAGCUCGACGGGGCUGACCGCUCUGGCCCAGGGUGGUAUGUAAUUUUCGCUCGGCCUGGGACGGGGCCCAGGCCGGGCCCAGCCUGGUGGAGCGUCCAGGUCUGGGUGCGAAGCCAGGCCCCUGGGCGGAGGUGAGGGGUGGUCUGAGGAGUGAUGUGGAGUUAAGGCGCCAUCCUCACCGGUGACUGGUGCGGCACCUAGCAUGUUUGACAGGCGGGGACUGCGAGGCACGCUGCUCGGGUGUUGGGGACAACAUUGACCAACGCUUUAUUUUCCAGGUGGCAGUGCUCCUUUUGGACUUUUCUCUAGGUUUGGCGCUAAACUCUUCUUGUGAGCUCACUCCACCCCUUCUUCCUCCCUUUAACUUAUCCAUUCACUUAAAACAUUACCUGGUCAUCUGGUAAGCCCGGGACAGUAAGCCGAGUGGCUGUUGGAGUCGGUAUUGUUGGUAAUGGUGGAGGAAGAGAGGCCUUCCCGCUGAGGCUGGGGUGGGGCGGAUCGGUGUUGCUUGCCUGCAGAGAGGGUGGGGAGUGAAUGUGCACCCUUGGGUGGGCCUGCAGCCAUCCAGCUGAAAGUUACAAAAAUGCUUCAUGGACCGUGGUUUGUUACUAUAGUGUUCCUCAUGGCGAGCAGAUGGAACCGGGAGACAUGGAGUCCCUGGCCAGUGUGAGUCCUAGCAUUGCAGGAGGGGAGACCCUGGAGGAGAGAGCCCGCCUCAAUUGAUGCCUGCAGAUUGAAUUUCCAGAGGCUUAGGAGGAGGAAGUUCUCCAAUGUUCUGUUUCCAGGCCUUGCUCAGGAAGCCCUGUAUUCAGGAGGCUACCAUUUAAAGUUUGCAGAUGAGCUUAUGGGGGGCAAUCUUAAAAAGUCCACAGCAGAUGCAUCCGGCUCGAGGGGCCAUCAGCUUUGAAUAAAUGCUUGUUCCAGAGCCCAUGAAUGCCAGCAGGCACCCCUCCUUUCCUGGGGUAAAGGUUUUCAGAUGCUGCAUCUUCUAAAUUGAGCCUCCGGUCAUACUAGUUUUGUGCUUGGAACCUUGCUUCAAGAAGAUCCCUAAGCUGUAGAACAUUUUAACGUUGAUGCCACAACGCAGAUUGAUGCCUUGUAGAUGGAGCUUGCAGAUGGAGCCCCGUGACCUCUCACCUACCCACCUGUUUGCCUGCCUUCUUGUGCGUUUCUCGGAGAAGUUCUUAGCCUGAUGAAAUAACUUGGGGCGUUGAAGAGCUGUUUAAUUUUAAAUGCCUUAGACUGGGGAUAUAUUAGAGGAAGCAGAUUGUCAAAUUAAGGGUGUCAUUGUGUUGUGCUAAACGCUGGGAGGGUACAAGUUGGUCAUUCCUAAAUCUGUGUGUGAGAAAUGGCAGGUCUAGUUUGGGCAUUGUGAUUGCAUUGCAGAUUACUAGGAGAAGGGAAUGGUGGGUACACCGGUAGUGCUCUUUUGUUCUUGCUUCGUUUUUUUAAACUUGAACUUUACUUCGUUAGAUUUCAUAAUACUUUCUUGGCAUUCUAGUAAGAGGACCCUGAGGUGGGAGUUGUGGGGGACGGGGAGAAGGGGACAGCUUGGCACCGGUCCCGUGGGCGUUGCAGUGUGGGGGAUGGGGGUAUGCAGCUUGGCACUGGUACUGGGAGGGAUGAGGGUGAAGAAGGGGAGAGGGUUGGUUAGAGAUACAGUGUGGGUGGUGGGGGUGGUAGGAAAUGCAGGUUGAAGGGAAUUCUCUGGGGCUUUGGGGAAUUUAGUGCGUGGGUGAGCCAAGAAAAUACUAAUUAAUAAUAGUAAGUUGUUAGUGUUGGUUAAGUUGUUGCUUGGAAGUGAGAAGUUGCUUAGAAACUUUCCAAAGUGCUUAGAACUUUAAGUGCAAACAGACAAACUAACAAACAAAAAUUGUUUUGCUUUGCUACAAGGUGGGGAAGACUGAAGAAGUGUUAACUGAAAACAGGUGACACAGAGUCACCAGUUUUCCGAGAACCAAAGGGAGGGGUGUGUGAUGCCAUCUCACAGGCAGGGGAAAUGUCUUUACCAGCUUCCUCCUGGUGGCCAAGACAGCCUGUUUCAGAGGGUUGUUUUGUUUGGGGUGUGGGUGUUAUCAAGUGAAUUAGUCACUUGAAAGAUGGGCGUCAGACUUGCAUACGCAGCAGAUCAGCAUCCUUCGCUGCCCCUUAGCAACUUAGGUGGUUGAUUUGAAACUGUGAAGGUGUGAUUUUUUCAGGAGCUGGAAGUCUUAGAAAAGCCUUGUAAAUGCCUAUAUUGUGGGCUUUUAACGUAUUUAAGGGACCACUUAAGACGAGAUUAGAUGGGCUCUUCUGGAUUUGUUCCUCAUUUGUCACAGGUGUCUUGUGAUUGAAAAUCAUGAGCGAAGUGAAAUUGCAUUGAAUUUCAAGGGAAUUUAGUAUGUAAAUCGUGCCUUAGAAACACAUCUGUUGUCUUUUCUGUGUUUGGUCGAUAUUAAUAAUGGCAAAAUUUUUGCCUAUCUAGUAUCUUCAAAUUGUAGUCUUUGUAACAACCAAAUAACCUUUUGUGGUCACUGUAAAAUUAAUAUUUGGUAGACAGAAUCCAUGUACCUUUGCUAAGGUUAGAAUGAAUAAUUUAUUGUAUUUUUAAUUUGAAUGUUUGUGCUUUUUAAAUGAGCCAAGACUAGAGGGGAAACUAUCACCUAAAAUCAGUUUGGAAAACAAGACCUAAAAAGGGAAGGGGAUGGGGAUUGUGGGGAGAGAGUGGGCGAGGUGCCUUUACUACAUGUGUGAUCUGAAAACCCUGCUUGGUUCUGAGCUGCGUCUAUUGAAUUGGUAAAGUAAUACCAAUGGCUUUUUAUCAUUUCCUUCUUCCCUUUAAGUUUCACUUGAAAUUUUAAAAAUCAUGGUUAUUUUUAUCGUUGGGAUCUUUCUGUCUUCUGGGUUCCAUUUUUUAAAUGUUUAAAAAUAUGUUGACAUGGUAGUUCAGUUCUUAACCAAUGACUUGGGGAUGAUGCAAACAAUUACUGUCGUUGGGAUUUAGAGUGUAUUAGUCACGCAUGUAUGGGGAAGUAGUCUCGGGUAUGCUGUUGUGAAAUUGAAACUGUAAAAGUAGAU